rnacentral:rRNA from 1 species
GAUGAACGCUGGCGGCGUGCCUAAUACAUGCAAGUCGAGCGAACGGACGAGAAGCUUGCUUCUCUGAUGUUAGCGGCGGACGGGUGAGUAACACGUGGAUAACCUACCUAUAAGACUGGGAUAACUUCGGGAAACCGGAGCUAAUACCGGAUAAUAUUUUGAACCGCAUGGUUCAAAAGUGAAAGACGGUCUUGCUGUCACUUAUAGAUGGAUCCGCGCUGCAUUAGCUAGUUGGUAAGGUAACGGCUUACCAAGGCAACGAUGCAUAGCCGACCUGAGAGGGUGGUCGGACACACUGGAACUGAGACACGGUACAGACUCCUACGGGAGGCAGCAGUAGGGAAUCUUCCGCAAUGGGCGAAAGCCUGACGGAGCAACGCCGCGUGAGUGAUGAAGGUCUUCGGAUCGUAAAACUCUGUUAUUAGGGAAGAACAUAUGUGUAAGUAACUGUGCACAUCUUGACGGUACCUAAUCAGAAAGCCACGGCUAACUACGUG